rnacentral:rRNA from 1 species
AACGAACGCUGGCGGCAGGCUUAACACAUGCAAGUCGAGCGCCCCGCAAGGGGAGCGGCAGACGGGUGAGUAACGCGUGGGAAUCUACCGUGCCCUACGGAAUAGCUCCGGGAAACUGGAAUUAAUACCGUAUACGCCCUACGGGGGAAAGAUUUAUCGGGGUAUGAUGAGCCCGCGUUGGAUUAGCUAGUUGGUGGGGUAAAGGCCUACCAAGGCGACGAUCCAUAGCUGGUCUGAGAGGAUGAUCAGCCACAUUGGGACUGAGACACGGCCCAAACUCCUACGGGAGGCAGCAGUGGGGAAUAUUGGACAAUGGGCGCAAGCCUGAUCCAGCCAUGCCGCGUGGGUGAUGAAGGUCUUAGGAUUGUAAAGCUCUUUCACCGGUGAAGAUAAUGACGGUAACCGGAGAAGAAGCACCGGCUAACUCCGUGCCAGCCGCCGCGGUAA